UACGGGGGGGGCGAGCGUUGUUCGGAAUUACUGGGCGUAAAGGGUUUGUAGGUGGCCUGCUAAGUCAGACGUGAAAUCCCUCAGCUUAACUGGGGAACUGCGUCUGAUACUGGCGGGCUUGAGGACAGGAGAGGAACGCGGAAUUCCAGGUGUAGCGGUGAAAUGCGUAGAUAUCUGGAGGAAUACCGGUGGCGAAGGCGGCAUCCUGGACCGGCAUUGACGCUGAGGAGCGAAAGCCAGGGGAGCAAACGGG
rnacentral:rRNA from 1 species